rnacentral:rRNA from 1 species
CUACGGGUUGCAGCAGUGGGGAAUAUUGCACAAUGGGCGAAAGCCUGAUGCAGCAACGCCGCGUGGAGGAUGAAGCAUUUCGGUGUGUAAACUCCUUUUAUAAGAGAAGAUUAUGACGGUAUCUUAUGAAUAAGCACCGGCUAACUCCGUGCCAGCAGCCGCGGUAAUACGGAGGGUGCAAGCGUUACUCGGAAUCACUGGGCGUAAAGAACGCGUAGGCGGAUUUUUAAGUCUUGAGUGAAAUCCUAUGGCUCAACCAUAGAACUGCUUGAGAAACUGGAAAUCUAGAAUCUGGAAGAGGUAGAUGGAAUUAGUAGUGUAGGGGUAAAAUCCGUAGAUAUUACUAGGAAUACCAAAAGCGAAGGCAAUCUACUGGGACAGUAUUGACGCUGUGGCGUGAAAGCGUGGGGAGCAGACAGGAUUAGAUACCCGAGUAGUC